GACAGAGGGGGCAAGCGUUGCUCGGAAUUACUGGGCGUAAAGGGCGCGUAGGCGGGAUGGCAAGUCGGUCGUGAAAUCCCUCGGCUCAACCGAGGAACGUCGAUCGAUACUGCUGUUCUUGAGGAUUGCAGAGGAGACUGGAAUUCCCGGUGUAGCGGUGAAAUGCGUAGAUAUCAGGAGGAACACCGGUGGUGUAGACGGCUAUCUGGACCGUAACUGACGCUGAGGCACGAAAGCGUGGGUAGCAAACAGG
rnacentral:rRNA from 1 species